UUUGUUUUCUCUGGUCCAUCAAGGGAUCCCCUUCUUCUUGUGCUGAUUGAAGACCUUGCGAUCUCUCUUCCGCUUCCUCGGCUAAGUAACGUUCCAGAGUCAAUCACUAAAGAAAACUCAAUAAUCCCACGAUUUCCUCUUCACUGCAACUUUUGGAUUCUCUCAGUUUCAAACUCUAUAUAUCCUUUUGUUCUCUAGCUUUUCCUCUUUACCAAAAUUAUCAAAAUCAAAGAAUCUUGGCGAUCUUCUACACUCCAAGCUGUGAGAUUUCUUUACAAACAGUGGUCGCAAAGUUGAUUUUGUACAUUGAUAGGAUGGAAUUGCUGAUGAUUCCUUGAGUGAUGAGACACCCACGUCAAGUUUUUAAACUUGAGCACUGAAACUUCACAUGAAGCAAAAUACGCUGGUGCACAGGACAAUAAAUCUUCUUAUAAUGAGGGUGAGCCUCUGCAUAUACGUAACAUUGUUCAUGGCCUUCCCUCACCCACUUCCUCCUUUUUCAGUAUAUAUGUUGUACUAGGAAAUUAAGAAGCCUUUGGUCUCAUGCGUUUUCAUUCAAAAGAAGACCACAAUGAGCUACUCUAUUGUCUCGUGGGCGUGUACGGCAUGGUCAAACGGCUCAAAGUUCUCAUGGUAAGGACAUUGCUACUCUUUAUCUGUUUGGAUGUGACAUGGUGUUGGAUUGGGUGGAGCAAGAAGCACAUGUGGCAGGGUGUCGUUCGACGUCUGAAGCAGAGAGGUAUCAAGGGAGGAAGAGGAAGCAAGAGAACAAAGGGAAAUGGAGUAUAGACCUCCUAAGCAAGCAAUUUCAAGCAAGGUGUAUGAUUUGGACCUGAAUGGGUUCACGGAGUCGCAACUGCGGUACGAAAUCGUAACUGUUUGAGAUACUAGAUAUGUGGAUCCUACCUUCAUAUGAUUCGAAGUUUCUGUAGACCAAGAACCUUGUAGCUUCUGAGAAGAAGCGGCUUGGGUUUGCUUGAAGCUGAGAAGAAGAGGGCACAUGCUUUUGUCUAGCAAGUACGCCACGUUGCCAACUCUGUUUCUAAUCAGCGUGAGAUGGAUAGAAGUAAAAUGAGGGACAAACUUGAAGACAAAUUUCUAAGGGAAAAGAGACAUAGAUCGGAGUUUCUUUGUCAAAGAAGAAGACAGCUUGAUUCGAUUAGUCUCUACUGCGAUAUGAUGCAGCAAGAUGGUGAUCUUCUCUCUAGAAAGCUGUCAAGGUGUUGGAAGUGCUUUGUGAUUUAAUAAAGUCAGCCUGAUACUCUUAAAGCUGUUAACUCUUUGCUUGACCGCCUUCAAGUUCGCUUAGAAGCUUCUAAAACGUUACCGCUUCUUCUCAACCGUCGAUAAUGGAUAACAUUCAUCAUCUUCUUAGAAGAGUUGCCACCCCAAGAAAAAAGAAGACGCCAAGUACUCUAAAGAACAAGAAAGGAAAGAGAGUUACUCCUGGUAGGAGGGUGGCCGUGACAUCUGAGGUUUCCUAUCAGAGUGGUCCUUUCUGCUUUUAUGAUACUCGGUCAUCCAGACGCUGUGUUUAACAGUCAAGGUGAUCAAGAGGCUGCUCUUAAUGACUCAGCGAAGGGUUUUUUGAGGGAGUUUAAGUUAUUGAUAAAGGUUAUUAAAGAGGGUCAUGUUAAGAUGUCUAUUGAGGAAUCAAAGCUUCAGACGUUGAGAUCUCAGUUGGACUUAUUUGAUAAGGCAUGGUGCACAUUUUUGAAUUCGUUUGUGCUUUGGAAAGUGAAGGAUGCUCGGUUGUUGGGAGAGGAUAAGGUAAGAGCAGCUUGUCAGCUUGAAAUUUACAUGAUUCAGAAAUGCAAGAUUACUCCAGAAAGAGAUGACACUGUGCUCACUCAUGACAAGAAAGCAAUUCAGACCCGAAAUACGAAAGGCAUACUAAGCUUCCUAGAAGGAUAGACUAAUUUUUCAUUAUUGUAAUAGAUUAUUGCCACCGCUCUCCUACUCUGUUCCCUUCGCAAUAUAUCAUCAAUAAUCCAUAGCUAGCCAUAUUUACUUUAA